rnacentral:rRNA from 1 species
AACGAACGCUGGCGGCAGGCUUAACACAUGCAAGUCGAGCGCCCCGCAAGGGGAGCGGCAGACGGGUGAGUAACGCGUGGGAAUCUACCCAUCUCUACGGAAUAACGCAUGGAAACGUGUGCUAAUACCGUAUACGUCUUUCGGGAGAAAGAUUUAUCGGAGAUGGAUGAGCCCGUGUUGGAUUAGCUAGUUGGUGGGGUAAAGGCCUACCAAGGCGACGAUUCAUAGCUGGUCUGAGAGGAUGAUCAGCCACACUGGGACUGAGACACGGCCCAGACUCCUACGGGAGGCAGCAGUGGGGAAUAUUGGACAAUGGGCGCAAGCCUGAUCCAGCCAUGCCGCGUGAGUGAUGAAGGCCCUAGGGUUGUAAAGCUCUUUCACCGGUGAAGAUAAUGACGGUAACCGGAGAAGAAGCCCCGGCUAACUUCGUGCCAGCAGCCGCCGUAAUAC